rnacentral:rRNA from 1 species
AUUGAACGCUGGCGGCAGGCCUAACACAUGCAAGUCGAACGAGUGGCGGACGGGUGAGUAAUGUCUGGGAAACUGCCCGAUGGAGGGGGAUAACUACUGUAACCGGUAGCUAAUACCGCAUACCAUCGGAUGUGCCCAGAUGGGAUUAGCUAGUAGGUGGGUGAAUGGCUCACCUAGGCGACGAUCCCGAGCUGGUCUGAGAGGAUGAUCAGUCACACUGGAACUGAGACACGGUCCAGACUCCUACGGGAGGCAGCAGUGGGGAAUAUUGGACAAGGGGCGAAAGCCUGAUCCAGCCAUGCCGCGGGUGUGAAGAAGGUCUUCGGAUUGUAAAGCACUUUAAGUUGGGAGGCGUUACCAACAGAAUAAGCACCGGCUAACUUCGUGCCAGCAGCCGCGGUAAUAC